rnacentral:rRNA from 1 species
CAAUAGCAUAUAUUAAAGUUGUUGCGGUUAAAACGCUCGUAGUCUAGUUUAUGGGCGCGUUUGCGUGUUUCCUUCGGGAGCUGCGUUAGACUCGCCCUUUUGCGGCCAGCACUUGUGUUCGCCGCGCUUCACUUUGAAGAAAUUAGAGUGUUCCAAGCGGGUUUCUGCCUUGAAUACACUAGCAUGGAAUGAUGUCGUAGGACCUGACGUCAAUGGGCCACGGGACGAUAGGUAAUGAUGAAUAGGAACAGUCGGGGGCGUUCGUACUUGGCAGUCAGAGGUGAAAUUCUUGGAUUUGCCAAAGACGGACUACUGCGAAAGCAUUCGCCAUGGAUGUUUNCAUUGA